ACUCUUUAAUUUCUGCCGCACUCUCUCCUCUCCUCUCCCCUCCCAUGCGCCACACCCUUGUCCUUACCGCUGCCAUCGCCUGUCGCCGCUUUGCCGUCGCCCGUUGCCGCUGCCGUCGCCCGUUGCCGUCGCCCGUUGCUGUCUUGGUAAUUUUCUAUGCAAUUUAACUGCAAGAUUACUUUCCUCUUCUCCCUCAAAACGCAGAUAAGCCUACCGUUUCUUGAAUCCCUUCCUCCACCAAGACCCAUCGAAAACCACCUCCUCCCUCGACCUCUGCCCCUUCAAUCACCAGAGCCACAACCCCACAGAAUAUCGCCUCUCCCUUAACCGCUUUCUUCAAGUUCAACAUCCAGGUCUCCCAUCUUCUUCUUCACCACACCCUGCUCCUUCUCCCAUCGUUUUCAUCUCCAUCGAUUUCUCAUAGACUCGUCUCCUCUCUCCGUUGGCUUAUCCUCCGAAACCCACUCCAUUGUCCUCCCCUUCAUUGUUGUUACAGCUCCUCCGCUUCUCCAUCAAUAUUCCACCAUUUCCUCAUCAUCUCCCCAAAAAUUAGAAAACCCACCUGCAUUCACCGAUUCUGGUUGUUCCGUGAAAGCACAGACGAAGCACCCAGCGGCGUAGCAGAACCGGCAAAGCAAUCGGAGGCCAUGUAUUAGAACCAGCAAAGCACAGACAACCUUUCACCAAGUCUUUCCAGUGCCACUCCGCACCCAACCGCGUCAUCGCCCUCACUGACCCUUUGCUCCCUCUGCUCAGCCUCAAAACUUUGCUUCGGCGUGGGUAUAGUUCUGAAUCUUUGUUGUUGUUACAUCUUUCACAAUAAGGGUUGUUAAAAUUGCUCUGGUUUGAUAUUUACAUUGUGGUUGAAUUAAAGCUUCAUAUUUGUAAAUGAUAAUGCUGUUUACCAUUUUGGUAUAUAUGUGACAUGCUAAAAUAUCUUGGAAUGGCCAGAUCCAUGCUACUUUUUAUGCACAUUUUCUCUUACAUUCUGAGGCUUGAUAAUGUUACUGGUCACUGGGCGUGUGUCCUUGAAUGCUGUGAGAGCCUUGAAAUGGUUGAGCUCAUUGCUCUCCUCAACCUACAGAUGGGACUGCGCACAGCAGCUUUGGCAAGUAUAUGCAGCUUUGGCAAGCAAAACAGCCCAGGGUCAAUUUCUGUCCUAUUUACUUAUUUAUUUUAGAGGAUGUAGCUGGAAUUCGCUAUAUGUUAAAAAGAAUGGAAAUAUUUUUUUUUUUGAAAGCUUUGGCAAGUAUAUGUAUAAGUUUUGUUAGCACGAAUUUUGUUUAUUGAUAUUGUAAAUCCCAAAUCGACGAAGAUAAUAUACAUUGCAAUUUCAAUUUAACCAUUCAUGACAGUAUGUUCAGAGGCUAUGCAGUUCCUUUUGACUUGGUAUGAUAUGCAUGUUCUUAAACUUUUCUGCAUUGUAUGUUCUAAUUUUAUUAAAGAGAGGCAAAUAUAUGUUUGAAGUUAUUUUAUAAAUCAAGGCAUUAGUUUUAUGUAUGAUUUAUGGCAUAUCUUGUAAUAGGGCGUCUCAGACUUGCAAGCCAAGCUGUCUGUGUUGUUCAAUUCAGUUGUUAUUGGACUUGGUUUUUUGGAUUUUGAUUGUUGCCUAUUCAACUUGGUAAUAUAUUAUUGAAGUUCCUAACCUUCCCUAUCUUAUGUUUUGUUGUUAGACUGGAGACUCAAGAUUUGAGACUCAUGACCGAGUGAGGUACACAAGAGACCAGCUGGUGCAACUCAGAGAGGUAAUAAUUUUUAUUGUAUGCCUGGGAUGUUAUUAAGCAAUACAGUAGAAUCUUUCUAGGUAGAUUUUAUUUUCCCUGUAUCUCAUAUGAGUUGAUUCCUAUGACUCUAAUCACUGGGAUGCAGCAUCAAAACAAUGGUAAAUUAAUUGCAAGUUUUGGCAUUCAAAUGGUUUCUCUCCUGAUUUCAUAUUUUUCCCUGCAAAAUUUAUUGGCAUUAAGAUCAAUACUGGAC
rnacentral:lncRNA from 1 species